rnacentral:rRNA from 1 species
AGAGUUUGAUCAUGGCUCAGGAUGAACGCUGGCGGUAUGCGUAACACAUGCAAGUCGAACGAAGUUUUUCGGAACUUAGUGGCGGACGGGUGAGUAACGCGUGAGAAUCUGCCUUAAGGAUUGGGACAACAGUGGGAAACCGCUGCUAAUACCAAAUAUGCCUUUUAGUGAAACGGGUAAAACCGCCUUAAGAUGAGCCCGCGGCCUAUCAGCUAGUUGGUAAGGUAACGGCUUACCAAGGCUAUGACGGGUAGCUGGUCUGAGAGGACGACCAGCCACACUGGAACUGAGACACGGUCCAGACACCUACGGGUGGCAGCAGUCGAGAAUUUUUCUCAAUGGGGGAAACCCUGAAGGAGCGACGCCGCGUGGAGGAUGAAGGUCUUCGGAUCGUAAACUCCUGUCAUUAGGGAACAAUUGUCACCGGUUAACUGCCGGGGGCUUGAUAGUACCUGAAGAGGAAGAGACGGCUAACUCUGUGCCAGCAGCCGCGGUAAUACAGAGGUCUCAAGCGUUGUUCGGAUUCAUUGGGCGUAAAGGGAGCGUAGGUGGCGGGGUAAGUUGGAUGUGAAAUCUCGGGGCUCAACCCCGAAACUGCAUUCAAUACUGCUCUGCUAGAGUACUGGAGAGGAGAUUGGAAUUCAUGGUGUAGCAGUGAAAUGCGUAGGUAUCAUGAGGAAGACCAGUGGCGAAGGCGGAUCUCUGGACAGUUACUGACACUGAUGCUCGAAGGCUAGGGGAGCAAACGGGAUUAGAUACCCCUGUAGUCC